GUAAAAAUAAAACAACAACAAAAUAGGGUGGAGGGAAUACGUUAUCAUAGAUAUGGUAAGGCUGCUAGGAAAUUUAGCAAUGGGGAAGAAUUGUGUUCGGAUCCAAAGUCCCAGUUCUUAAGGGUGAGACAAUAACCCUUCCUUGUCUGAUUCCCAUCCCCAUGUUUUAGGAAUGAAGGGCCACAUUUUCUUCUUUUUACACCAGGGGAAGAUUUUUUAAAAGCACUGGAUAGAGAUUUGGCAGGUCUGGGUUCCAGUUCUAGAUCUACCUAGGAGACCUGCUGUCUGACCUUGCUAGAUCCUGGACCCAGAGCAAGUCCCUUUCCGCUGCUCACAGGGUAUUGACUGUAGGAAAUUCCCCCAGUGGUGCCGGGGCAUUCCAGGAAUGAGGAGGGAUGCACGGCUCAGCUGAAGUGGGCUACAUUCAAGGGUACAUCUACACAGUGGUUAAGUGUUGCCGCUCCCAGCCCUGCAACAGCAAAGGGUUUGGCUACACUACAGAGUUAAAUCACCAAAACAAAAAUCGCCACAGCAUGUUCACAUUUGCUUCUUCUGUCAACAGACUGGGGACACCACACUGGGGAAUUCAUCAUCAACAGUGUGAGCAAUGCAUCGUGGGUAUGUAUUAGGGACGUCAACAUGUAGCUGACUACAUCGUUAACAGAUAAGCCUGGGCUUAUUGGUUAAUAUUGCAGCAAUGAAAGGGGGGGAGGGAGCAGGAGCCGGGGUCUGUGAGAAACUGCCUU